UACGGGGGGGGCAAGCGUUGUUCGGAAUUACUGGGCGUAAAGGGCUCGUAGGUGGCCAACUAAGUCAGACGUGAAAUCCCUCGGCUUAACCGGGGAACUGCGUCUGAUACUGGAUGGCUAGAGUUUGGGAGAGGGAUGCGGAAUUCCAGGUGUAGCGGUGAAAUGCGUAGAUAUCUGGAGGAACGCCGGUGGCGAAGGCGGCAUCCUGGACCAACACUGACGCUGAGGAGCGAAAGCCAGGGGAGCAAACGGG
rnacentral:rRNA from 1 species